UUAUGGCUUACUCACAACUUGUUGGGUUGAGCAUAUUCAAGUGAAUAUAUGCAUGAGUUUGUGUCCAUUUACUUGUUAAUGCGGGGAGAUACGGGCUUACCCUAUUUCCACCUACACAAUAAAGUGUGACACUGUCUAUUGAGCAACUUGGAGGAAUUUUCAACCGAAAUGGCGGUCAUUUACUUUCUUAAAAUUUAGUUUAAAUACAAAUCUUCAUUUAUUCUGAUGUCAGACAAGUUGGUGUAUAAUGUUUAUUCUGCUGAUGUAUGUAUAACCAUUUUUUUGCACUCAAAAAGUUGCCAACAACAAAUUGUCUUUGGGCAAAGUCCUUGAUGAUUUUUUUUCUCCUUGCCCUAGUAUCUAUAUGAAUCCCAUGUCUCUUUCCUCCCUGUUAUCUAAUGCAAUGGUUACUAGGUAUAAUUUAUGCAAAUGAGAUGAAGGAGUCAAGACUCAAGUCGCUUACUGCAAAUUUACAUCGUAUGGGGGUGACAAACACUAUAGUUUGCAACUAUGACGGGAGAGAGUGGAAGCUCUUGGUGAAAUAGUUGAACAACAGGGUAAAAAAGGCUGGAAUUUCAAUUUGAAACAUUAUGACAAAAACUUGAACUGGCAAACACCAAUAGUGGACUCCUCCCUUAUGUAUGACUGUACUGUCAAUUGCACCUGCCUUUCUGAUGAUGAAUGUCACAUCAGUGCCAUCUAGAAAUUUCAGGAUGCAGACAAGAUUAGAAAGAUUGAAGCAGAUUCAAACAAAAACCACCAUGCCCAUGGUUUGUGAUGAUGAUUUCAAUUGGUAUCCUUGUAAUUGCAUUGCUUCUUGGGCAUAUAAUCAACGCAACAAUGAAUUGAAUAGCCAAAGUUGAGGGUGAUUACCAUGAGAUGAUAGAGCUGAAGAAACGAGCAGAGGCAGCUGAUGUUGCUAAAUCACAGGUAUUUGAUAGUUGUAGUUCAUGUAUUGAAAUUUUGUUAGGCUUCACCUAAUAUGUCUACAUGGUUCUAAUUGAAUUUCAAUCCUCUGUAGUUCCUUGCUACUGUGUCCCAUGAGAUCAGAAC